AAAUAAAAAUGAGGCACAGAUGUGUCCUUUUCCAUCUCUUCUUCUCUUCCGCUCUUGAAACAUUGUUAUUUAAAACACCUAUCCACUUUGGCUCUGGGGCCUAGUACACCGUGGUGUCACAGCCCAUUGAAAUCUGAGACGGACAGGUCUGACCCCAACCAGCAAGCUAAUUAGAACUGCACAGCAGCGGAAGCAAGGAGCUGAGCUGAAAUAACGGGCAGGAUGAUGUCACAGCAUCCUCUCAUGCCGAGGAUACCCCUCCAGGCAAAGGAACCCCAGUUAUUAGGAACAACUGGACUUCACUUCUUGAGAGAGAGUGGGAGAAUGACAUGCUGCACUUACCC